GACGAACGCUGGCGGCGUGCUUAACACAUGCAAGUCGAACGGAAAGGCCCUGCUUUUGUGGGGUGCUCGAGUGGCGAACGGGUGAGUAACACGUGAGUAACCUGCCCUUGACUUUGGGAUAACUUCAGGAAACUGGGGCUAAUACCGGAUAGGAGCUCCUGCUGCAUGGUGGGGGUUGGAAAGUUUCGGCGGUUGGGGAUGGACUCGCGGCUUAUCAGCUUGUUGGUGGGGUAGUGGCUUACCAAGGCUUUGACGGGUAGCCGGCCUGAGAGGGUGACCGGCCACAUUGGGACUGAGAUACGGCCCAGACUCCUACGGGAGGCAGCAGUGGGGAAUAUUGCACAAUGGGCGGAAGCCUGAUGCAGCAACGCCGCGUGCGGGAUGACGGCCUUCGGGUUGUAAACCGCUUUCGCCUGUGACGAAGCGUGAGUGACGGUAAUGGGUAAAGAAGCACCGGCUAACUACGUGCCAGCAGCCGCGGUGAUACGUAGGGUGCGAGCGUUGUCCGGAUUUAUUGGGCGUAAAGGGCUCGUAGGUGGUUGAUCGCGUCGGAAGUGUAAUCUUGGGGCUUAACCCUGAGCGUGCUUUCGAUACGGGUUGACUUGAGGAAGGUAGGGGAGAAUGGAAUUCCUGGUGGAGCGGUGGAAUGCGCAGAUAUCAGGAGGAACACCAGUGGCGAAGGCGGUUCUCUGGGCCUUUCCUGACGCUGAGGAGCGAAAGCGUGGGGAGCGAACAGGCUUAGAUACCCUGGUAGUCCACGCUGUAAACGGUGGGUACUAGGUGUGGGGUCCAUUCCACGGGUUCCGUGCCGUAGCUAACGCUUUAAGUACCCCGCCUGGGGAGUACGGCCGCAAGGCUAAAACUCAAAGGAAUUGACGGGGCCCCGCACAAGCGGCGGAGCAUGCGGAUUAAUUCGAUGCAACGCGUAGAACCUUACCUGGGUUUGACAUGGAUCGGGAGCGCUCAGAGAUGGGUGUGCCUCUUUUGGGGUCGGUUCACAGGUGGUGCAUGGCUGUCGUCAGCUCGUGUCGUGAGAUGUUGGGUUAAGUCCCGCACCGAGCGCAACCCUUGUUCACUGUUGCCAGCACGUUAUGGUGGGGACUCAGUGGAGACCGCCGGGGUCAACUCGGAGGAAGGUGGGGAUGACGUCAAGUCAUCAUGCCCCUUAUGUCCAGGGCUUCACGCAUGCUACAAUGGCUGGUACAGAGAGUGGCGAGCCUGUGAGGGUGAGCGAAUCUCGGAAAGCCGGUCUCAGUUCGGAUUGGGGUCUGCAACUCGACCUCAUGAAGUCGGAGUCGCUAGUAAUCGCAGAUCAGCAACGCUGCGGUGAAUACGUUCCCGGGGCU
rnacentral:rRNA from 1 species